rnacentral:rRNA from 1 species
GACGAACGCUGGCGGCGUGCUUAACACAUGCAAGUCGAGCGGAGGUAUAGUAACGGAGAGCUUCGGCAGGAAGAUAUUAUACUUUAGCGGCGGACGGGUGAGUAACGUGUGGGCAACCUGCCAUAUACUGGGGAAUAAUCAUUGGAAACGAUGACUAAUACCGCAUGUGGUCUUUAAGAGGCAUCUCUUGAAGAAGAAAGGACUUCGGUUCGGUAUAUGAUGGGCCCGCAUCUGAUUAGCUAGUUGGUGAGAUAACAGCUCACCAAGGCGACGAUCAGUAGCCGACCUGAGAGGGUGAUAGGCCACAUUGGGACUGAGACACGGCCCAAACUCCUACGGGAGGCAGCAGUGGGGAAUAUUGCACAAUGGGGGAAACCCUGAUGCAGCAACGCCGCGUGAAGGAAGAAGGGUUUCGGCUCGUAAACCUCUGUCAGGAGGGAAGAAGUGCAUUUGUGCUAAUCAGCGAAUGUUUGACGGUACCUCCAAAGGAAGCACCGGCUAACCCCGUGCCAGCCGCCGCGGUAAAAC